rnacentral:sRNA from 1 species
AACAGGCGCAGCAAGGGAACACAGAAGUUGUAGGGGAGCCCGAGAAUCAAACUUCAGCGUUAACCUCGAGCAUUGGCAACGUCGUUAAAUAAAAUAAGCUAGUUCUACUUAGGGUGAUACACAAGUUCUCAAUUAUACAAUAUAGACGCCUAAAUACGAUGAGAGACCGGCGAAAGAAGUUCAGGAAUCGAACUUCAGCUUAGAAGAACCUUAUGAAGUAAAUGAUGACCCUUGAAGAUUUUAGGAGAGCGUCAUAUCAGGCAGCUGUAGAGUAAAUAUUGUGGAAAUAAGAGAUCAUAGAAA